rnacentral:rRNA from 1 species
ACACACUAUCAUUAACUGAAUCCAUAGGUUAAUGAGGCGAACCGGGGGAACUGAAACAUCUAAGUACCCCGAGGAAAAGAAAUCAACCGAGAUUCCCCCAGUAGCGGCGAGCGAACGGGGAGCAGCCCAGAGCCUGAAUCAGUAUGUGUGUUAGUGGAAGCGUCUGGAAAGGCGCGCGAUACAGGGUGACAGCCCCGUACACAAAAAUGCACAUGCUGUGAGCUCGAUGAGUAGGGCGGGACACGUGGUAUCCUGUCUGAAUAUGGGGGGACCAUCCUCCAAGGCUAAAUACUCCUGACUGACCGAUAGUGAACCAGUACCGUGAGGGAAAGGCGAAAAGAACCCCGGCGAGGGGAGUGAAAAAGAACCUGAAACCGUGUACGUACAAGCAGUGGGAGCACGCUUAGGCGUGUGACUGCGUACCUUUUGUAUAAUGGGUCAGCGACUUAUAUUCUGUAGCAAGGUUAACCGAAUAGGGGAGCCGAAGGGAAACCGAGUCUUAACUGGGCGUUAAGUUGCAGGGUAUAGACCCGAAACCCGGUGAUCUAGCCAUGGGCAGGUUGAAGGUUGGGUAACACUAACUGGAGGACCGAACCGACUAAUGUUGAAAAAUUAGCGGAUGACUUGUGGCUGGGGGUGAAAGGCCAAUCAAACCGGGAGAUAGCUGGUUCUCCCCGAAAGCUAUUUAGGUAGCGCCUCGUGAAUUCAUCUCCGGGGGUAGAGCACUGUUUCGGCAAGGGGGUCAUCCCGACUUACCAACCCGAUGCAAACUGCGAAUACCGGAGAAUGUUAUCACGGGAGACACACGGCGGGUGCUAACGUCCGUCGUGAAGAGGGAAACAACCCAGACCGCCAGCUAAGGUCCCAAAGUCAUGGUUAAGUGGGAAACGAUGUGGGAAGGCCCAGACAGCCAGGAUGUUGGCUUAGAAGCAGCCAUCAUUUAAAGAAAGCGUAAUAGCUCACUGGUCGAGUCGGCCUGCGCGGAAGAUGUAACGGGGCUAAACCAUGCACCGAAGCUGCGGCAGCGACGCUGAUGCGUUGUUGGGUAGGGGAGCGUUCUGUAAGCCUGCGAAGGUGUGCUGUGAGGCAUGCUGGAGGUAUCAGAAGUGCGAAUGCUGACAUAAGUAACGAUAAAGCGGGUGAAAAGCCCGCUCGCCGGAAGACCAAGGGUUCCUGUCCAACGUUAAUCGGGGCAGGGUGAGUCGACCCCUAAGGCGAGGCCGAAAGGCGUAGUCGAUGGGAAACAGGUUAAUAUUCCUGUACUUGGUGUUACUGCGAAGGGGGGACGGAGAAGGCUAUGUUGGCCGGGCGACGGUUGUCCCGGUUUAAGCGUGUAGGCUGGUUUUCCAGGCAAAUCCGGAAAAUCAAGGCUGAGGCGUGAUGACGAGGCACUACGGUGCUGAAGCAACAAAUGCCCUGCUUCCAGGAAAAGCCUCUAAGCAUCAGGUAACAUCAAAUCGUACCCCAAACCGACACAGGUGGUCAGGUAGAGAAUACCAAGGCGCUUGAGAGAACUCGGGUGAAGGAACUAGGCAAAAUGGUGCCGUAACUUCGGGAGAAGGCACGCUGAUAUGUAGGUGAAGUCCCUCGCGGAUGGAGCUGAAAUCAGUCGAAGAUACCAGCUGGCUGCAACUGUUUAUUAAAAACACAGCACUGUGCAAACACGAAAGUGGACGUAUACGGUGUGACGCCUGCCCGGUGCCGGAAGGUUAAUUGAUGGGGUUAGCGCAAGCGAAGCUCUUGAUCGAAGCCCCGGUAAACGGCGGCCGUAACUAUAACGGUCCUAAGGUAGCGAAAUUCCUUGUCGGGUAAGUUCCGACCUGCACGAAUGGCGUAAUGAUGGCCAGGCUGUCUCCACCCGAGACUCAGUGAAAUUGAACUCGCUGUGAAGAUGCAGUGUACCCGCGGCAAGACGGAAAGACCCCGUGAACCUUUACUAUAGCUUGACACUGAACAUUGAGCCUUGAUGUGUAGGAUAGGUGGGAGGCUUUGAAGUGUGGACGCCAGUCUGCAUGGAGCCGACCUUGAAAUACCACCCUUUAAUGUUUGAUGUUCUAACGUUGACCCGUAAUCCGGGUUGCGGACAGUGUCUGGUGGGUAGUUUGACUGGGGCGGUCUCCUCCUAAAGAGUAACGGAGGAGCACGAAGGUUGGCUAAUCCUGGUCGGACAUCAGGAGGUUAGUGCAAUGGCAUAAGCCAGCUUGACUGCGAGCGUGACGGCGCGAGCAGGUGCGAAAGCAGGUCAUAGUGAUCCGGUGGUUCUGAAUGGAAGGGCCAUCGCUCAACGGAUAAAAGGUACUCCGGGGAUAACAGGCUGAUACCGCCCAAGAGUUCAUAUCGACGGCGGUGUUUGGCACCUCGAUGUCGGCUCAUCACAUCCUGGGGCUGAAGUAGGUCCCAAGGGUAUGGCUGUUCGCCAUUUAAAGUGGUACGCGAGCUGGGUUUAGAACGUCGUGAGACAGUUCGGUCCCUAUCUGCCGUGGGCGCUGGAGAACUGAGGGGGGCUGCUCCUAGUACGAGAGGACCGGAGUGGACGCAUCACUGGUGUUCGG